rnacentral:rRNA from 1 species
CUCCCUGGUGGCGAGCGGCGGACGGGUGAGUAAUGCAUAGGAAUCUGCCCGGUAGUGGGGGAUAACGUGGGGAAACCCACGCUAAUACCGCAUACGUCCUACGGGAGAAAGCAGGGGAUCUUCGGACCUUGCGCUAUCGGAUGAGCCUAUGUCGGAUUAGCUAGUUGGUAAGGUAACGGCUUACCAAGGCGACGAUCCGUAGCUGGUCUGAGAGGAUGAUCAGCCACACUGGGACUGAGACACGGCCCAGACUCCUACGGGAGGCAGCAGUGGGGAAUAUUGGACAAUGGGCGAAAGCCUGAUCCAGCCAUGCCGCGUGUGUGAAGAAGGCUUUCGGGUUGUAAAGCACUUUCAGCGAGGAAGAAAGCCUCUGGGUUAAUACUUCAGAGGAAGGACAUCACUCGCAGAAGAAGCACCGGCUAACUCCGUGCCAGCAGCCGCGGUAAUACGGAGGGUGCGAGCGUUAAUCGGAAUUACUGGGCGUAAAGCGCGCGUAGGUGGCUUGGCACGCCGGUUGUGAAAGCCCCGGGCUCAACCUGGGAACGGCAUCCGGAACGGCCAGGCUAGAGUGCAGGAGAGGAAGGUAGAAUUCCCGGUGU